CUCUUUCAUUACCAUGAUGCUCGAUGGACGGAGACAUGAAUGCAGGGCACUGCAGAAAAGACCAGAAAUGGUUUGCAGAUUGGACUGGCCUUACUGUCCUGCUGCGCUGGGAAUAAAGCAGAUGACCUGACCAGCAGGCUGACUGUUCUGAUGGAAUGAGAAGAUGGAACAGCAUUGGACGUGUCUUCUCAUGCAUGCACCCAGAGAUCAUCUGGAAUCAUUCAGUUCCUAAAAGGGAUGCCCUUGUUGUGGUGUGACUCAGCCAGUUUAGCAGCCAAUCCUGCAAGGACUGGAGAUUCAGUGUGCUGAGCUUCCAUUUUCCUCCUGAAGAGCAUUCCCAUGUGGAACAGGCAGUUACAAAGACACCUCCAGCAAUGUCUUCAAAGACUCCUUCAAGAGCGCUGGAGAAGUAGUGUCGUAAGCAGAGAGGUUUCUUGAGAUUCUCCAUAAUUGAAGUGGUUGUUUUUCUGUAAUUGUGGGAUUAUUUUUUUAAUUUCAAAUAAGUUUUAUUUUAAUUAUCAGUCAUUACAUUCCACAUUCAAGACUCCAUGAAUCUAUCUCUGGUAUUGCACAUCAAUAAAAAUAUACAAAAAUUACAUAUACAUGCAGCUUCACCCA